rnacentral:rRNA from 1 species
GGGGCAUCUAGAGCAGGAAGACAGCACCCUCGCAGCUUGCUGCGUGGGGCUACCCGACCUCGGUUGGGUUUAGAGUCGUCAGGCCUCUCGGAGAAGCCUGGUCCUGAACUCCACCCUUGAAUAAAUUACCUUUGUUGCUUUGGCAGGCCGCCUCGUGCCAGCGGCUUCGGCUGCUGAGUGCCUGCCAGAGGACCACAACUCUUGUUUUUAGUGAUGUCUGAGUACUAUAUAAUAGUUAAAACUUUCAACAACGGAUCUCUUGGUUCUGGCAUCGAUGAAGAACGCAGCGAAAUGCGAUAAGUAAUGUGAAUUGCAGAAUUCAGUGAAUCAUCGAAUCUUUGAACGCACAUUGCGCCCUCUGGUAUUCCGGGGGGCAUGCCUGUUCGAGCGUCAUUAUAACCACUCAAGCUCACGCUUGGUAUUGGGGUUCGCGGUUUCGCGGCCCCUAAAAUCAGUGGCGGUGCCUGUCGGCUCUACGCGUAGUAAUACUCCUCGCGAUUGAGUCCGGUAGGUUUACUUGCCAGCAACCCCCAAUUUUUACAGGUUGACCUCGGAUCAGGUAGGGAUACCCGCUGAACUUAAGCAUAUCAAA